rnacentral:lncRNA from 1 species
CCCCCAUCCAUAAAGGUCUUUGCCAUAUCUGAUUCAUUUUCUUCAGGAAGGUAAUGUGACUCUCUCCUCUCACUUCAUCAAACCUAUUAACGGAUCAGUAAGAAGAGCAGAAUAGAAUAGAUCAAAGAGGUCCUAGACAGAGGAAAGUGGGGUGAAAGAAGAAAUUUAGAAGUCGGUAGAGGGUCAUCUUUCCUACUCCUUCUCCAAGCUCUCCCUAUUAUUCCUUCACACAUUUCCACUCUUCAUCUCAUUUCCCCCAUUUCUCUCUCUCUCUCUCUCUCACUCUCUCUCUUUCUCCCUCUUCAUUUCCCCCCCUCUUCCCCCAGUUUAUGGACAUUUCUUUCUGGGAAAAUAAAGCUGCCUGAUGGAGCUGACAAGCCACUGGUGGCUUUGGAGAGAAAGCACGCUCUAGAGUGCCAGUUAGUCCUCACUCUUCAAUGCGCAGGCUCAUAAUAGGGAGGAGGAGAAGAAUCUUCCAAUCACCGGCCGCAAUUAGGGCUCCUCCACCACUCACCCCGCUUCCCCAUGAAUGAACAUUGACGUCAAUCGGGCGGAGAAGACCCCCCCAUGUGAUCUACUGGCUCCUCUUUAUAAAGAGGCGGGGCGGGCGCUGUCCAGCGUGCUGAAGCUUGGGGAAGCAAGCUAGCGGGAGAGACGGAGAAUCGACCACGCGAAGAGAGACCAGCUGGAAACUGACCGAGGCGACAGUCGAACGCAGCUCAGGGACCGAAACUCGGAGCAUCUCCUACCUCAAAAUCCCGACCCUUCCCAUUCCUCGAAUCCUAGCUGCUUCUCUCGUUUCACUUGCCUUUCCCUUCCCCCCCCCCUUUAUUUUUCUUUUCUAUAGAGUGGAAAUCAUUCUUUCCCCAGU